rnacentral:rRNA from 1 species
UACGUAGGCAGCGAGCGUUGUUCGGAUUUACUGGGCGUAAAGAGUGCGUAGGCGGUUUUCUAAGUUUGGUGUGAAAUCUCCCGGCUCAACUGGGAGGGUGCGCCGAAGACUGGAAGGCUUGAGUAUGGGAGAGGUAAGCGGAAUUCCUGGUGUAGCGGUGAAAUGCGCAGAUAUCAGGAGGAACACCGAUGGCGAAGGCAGGUCUCUGGGCCACUACUGACGCUGAGAAGCGAAAGCAUGGGGAGCGAACAGG